UCUGAUGUUUCUUCAUCCAACGGGUGCUGAU
rnacentral:piRNA from 1 species